rnacentral:rRNA from 1 species
AUUGAACGCUGGCGGCAUGCCUUACACCUGCAAGUCGAACGGCAGCACGGGAGCAAUCCUGGUGGCGAGUGGCGAACGGGUGAGUAAUAUAUCGGAACGUGCCCGGUCGUGGGGGAUAACGUAGCGAAAGCUACGCUAAUACCGCAUACGAUCUACGGAUGAAAGCGGGGGAUCGCAAGACCUCGCGCGAUUGGAGCGGCCGAUAUCAGAUUAGGUAGUUGGUGAGGUAAAGGCUCACCAAGCCGACGAUCUGUAGCUGGUCUGAGAGGACGACCAGCCACACUGGGACUGAGACACGGCCCAGACUCCUACGGGAGGCAGCAGUGGGGAAUUUUGGACAAUGGGCGCAAGCCUGAUCCAGCAAUGCCGCGUGCAGGAUGAAGGCCUCGGUUGG